GCACUGCUGAGGAGUCCCACAAUAGGACGAAAAGGCCAUCUAGUGC
rnacentral:hammerhead_ribozyme from 1 species